UACAGAGGGUGCAAGCGUUGUUCGGAAUUAUUGGGCGUAAAGCGCGCGCAGGCGGUCUCUUAAGUCUGAUGUGAAAGCCCACGGCUCAACCGUGGAGGGUCAUUGGAAACUGGGGGGACUUGAGUACUGGAGAGGAGAGUGGAAUUCCAUGUGUAGCGGUGAAAUGCGUAGAUAUAUGGAGGAACACCAGUGGCGAAGGCGGCUCUCUGGCCAGUAACUGACGCUGAGGCG
rnacentral:rRNA from 1 species